UGGGAAUAUUGGACAAUGGGGGCAACCCUGAUCCAGCCAUGCCGCGUGAGUGAUGAAGGCCUUAGGGUUGUAAAGCUCUUUCACCCGGGACGAUAAUGACGGUACCGGGAGAAGAAGCCCCGGCUAACUUCGUGCCAGCAGCCGCGGUAAUACGAAGGGGGCUAGCGUUGUUCGGAAUCACUGGGCGUAAAGCGCACGUAGGCGGACCGUUAAGUCGGAGGUGAAAUCCUGGGGCUCAACCCCAGAACUGCCUUCGAUACUGGCGGUCUCGAGUCCGGAAGAGGUGAGUGGAACUGCCAGUGUAGAGGUGAAAUUCGUAGAUAUUGGCAAGAACACCAGUGGCGAAGGCGGCUCACUGGUCCGGUACUGACGCUGAGGUGCGAAAGCGUGGGGAGCAAAACAGGAUUAGAUACCCUGGUAGUCCACGCCGUAAACGAUGAAUGCCAGCCGUCGGGCAGCAUGCUGUUCGGUGGCGCAGCUAACGCUUUAAGCAUUCCGCCUGGGGAGUACGGCCGCAAGAUAAAACUUAAAGGAAUUGACGGGGUCAUAGCUGUUUCCU
rnacentral:rRNA from 1 species